rnacentral:misc_RNA from 1 species
CCAAUAGCGUAUAUUAAAGUUGUUGCAGUUAAAAAGCUCGUAGUUGAAUUUCGGGAUUGACGUGAUGGUCAUGCCUUAAGGGGUAUGAACUGUCGCUGUUGAUUUCUCACCUUCUGGAGAAACUUGAUGUCCUUUAUUGGGUGUCUUGCGGAUCCAGGACCUUUACCUUGAAAAAAUUAGAGUGUUUAAAGCAGGCAUUUUUGCUCGAAUACAUUAGCAUGGAAUAAUAGAAUAGGACGGCAUGGUUCUAUUUUGUUGGUUUCUAGGAUCACCGUAAUGAUUAAUAGGGAUAGUUGGGGGCAUUAGUAUUCAAUUGUCAGAGGUGAAAUUCUUGGAUUUAUUGAAGACUAACUACUGCGAAAGCAUUUGCCAAGGAUGUUUUCAUUAAUCAAGAACGAAAGUUAGGGGAUCGAAGACGAUCAGAUACCGUCGUAGUCUUAACCAUAAACUAUGUCGACUAGGAAUCAGACGAUGUUAAUUUUUUAAUGACUCGUUUGGCACCUUACG